rnacentral:ncRNA from 1 species
UGGAAACUUACUAAGUGAUCACUUUCAAAUUCAGAGAAACCCUGGAAUUAACAAAAAUGGGCAAUCCUGAGCCAAAUCCUUUAUUUCGGAAAACAAACAAAGGUUCAGAAAAAAGGAUAGGUGCAGAGACUCAAUGGAAGCUAUUCUAACAAAUGGAGUUAAAUGCGUUGGUAAAGGAAUCUUUACUUUACAUCGAAACUUCAGAAAGAAAAAGAAUGAAGUGAAGGAUAAACGUAUAUAUAUACGUAUUGAAUACUAUAUCAAAUGAUUAAUGACGACCCGAAUCCAUAUUUUUUCUAUAAAAAAUAGAAGAAUUGGUGUGAAUCGAUUCUACAUUGAAGAAAGAAUCGAAUAUUCAUUGAUCAAAUCAUUCACUCCAUAGUCUGAUAGAUCUUUUGAAGAACUGAUUAAUUGGACGAGAAUAAAGAUAGAGUCCCGUUCUACAUGUCAAUACCGGCAACAAUGAAAUUUAUAGUAAGAGGAAAAUCCGUCGACUUUAAAAAUCGUGAGGGUUCAAGUCCCUCUAUCCCCAAAAAGACUAUUUCACUCCCCAACUAUUUAUCCGAC